GCUCUCUCUCUCUGUCUCUCUCAAAGUUAAAUAAACAUUUAAAAAAAAUUUUUAAUGAUAAAAUAAAAUAUUUGCCGUCUGUGGUCAAAUGGUUGUUUAUCAAAGUUUCCCUGAAGCACAAUCAAUUUUCUCAGCUUCGAGAAAUAGAGGGGUGUAACAAGUGAAUUCGGUUCGAUUGUCUGGUUUUGGUUGAUUUCAAAUGUGCUUGUAUUGAAUGCUAACCCUUCUUCAAUUCAGCAACUAGCUUAUAUAUGAAAAUUAAACGUUUGGGGGGGAAUUUCUUCUAUUCAUUUUUAAACUUGUAGCUCAGCACUUCUUUGUAUUAAAUUUUCUUUCCCUCCUUCACUCACUUGCAGUAGAUUAAAGUGUUGAUCUUUUCUUUUUGAAAUCAUAGUUUGCUAAGUGGAUGUCUUUGCGAAUAGUAACUUAAUUUUCUCUCUGGGAGUUUGCAGUUUCCAACCUGUGGAGACAAACACGGAAACACCGUGCCACACAAGCAUUCUGAUAUGAAAUUUGGAAAACUGGGAUUGUUGAAAGAGCUAGGAAGCACAGAUUGCACUCCCUUUGGACAAAGUUCCAACGGAUGAAGACUUGUUUUCUGACUGGAGUGGGAGCAGGGCUGAUGACCUCACUGACCGUCUCCAAGCUGCUUUUGGGGGCAGAUGCCAUCAGGAGGGACUCUGGCUUGUGGAAAUACUAUGUUCUCUUCCUGCCUUCGGGUGACUGUACAAACUUAAAAAAAAAAAAAAGCCCAGGCUGCAGCUCCACACAGGGUGUCUAGCCAAAAUGCAAAGUUUUACCACAGCACACAAGUAGACAGUGUUUUUCAAGUGCGGGAACCGAGUGAGGUGCCUUUCAGCACCUUUGCCGGCACCUUCUUUAAAAAUGAUUUAAAUUGGAGGCAAUAGCAUCGAACGCUGAACAUCUGACAUUCAGACAAGACUUAAUGAAUCAUACACUUUAACAACAUCACUCUCCUCCAGCCACUUCACUUGGAGUCCAUGGUGGUUGCUUCUCCCCCCCACAAAAACAUUUGUUCUGCAGACCAUUUGCUGGUUAGAGUGUCCUGGGCAACUCUUCAUUCAUGGCAGGGAGAGCUGGUCCAAGAGAGACUGCAAACCUGAGCUCCUCCCGUGUCCAGUCUCUCCAGCUCUGGACUUCAGACUCGAGAGAGACAACAGUGGUCCUUCGGAACCCGACUUAGAACCACCUCGGUCUCUCCCCAGCGCGGUCUACUGCAGAGUAUUUAAGCUGCGCGACCAAAUGUCCCCAACCUACAACAGCCAGUGCUGUCAUUUGACUGAUUUGAAUCAAACUAACAAAAAAGCUAUGACUCUGUGGAUCGGAAAAUACCAGUGUUAGGGGGAAAAGACAACAAUUCUGAUAUUCAGGUUGGAGCAAAUCAUUAUCUUCAGUGUUGUUAUUUAAUCCUCUCCCCGUGGGGGUGACAGUAUGUCUCAUAGCUUGCCUGACAACUGCUAAGGACACAGGCAGCGUGGUCCAAGGCUGCCCAGCUUCACCAAGGACCAUAAGCUAUUGUCUCACACACCUUUUGGACGGGUUACCAAUUCAAUGCCAUUGGCAGAGAAAGCGGGAAGGGGGGGGGGCAUUCCCUCGGGGCUGCAACGUAUGCAAACAAUUUAAUCUUCCAAUCCAAUCCUUAAUGUAAAUGUUUAAUAUAAACCUGAUGUUAACACGAGGUACAUGAAUUUACUGGCCGGCAAAGCUGGGAUUUA